GCGUCGUUAGCUCAGCGGACAGAGCCAGGUGCUUCUACCACCUGUGGUCAGGGGUUCAAAUCCUCUACGACGCUCCA
rnacentral:tRNA from 1 species